UCAUGGCUGCUGUAUUUGGGGUCUGCUGUGGCUCUUACUGUUGUGACUGUGAUCACUAUUACUGCUGUUUCCUUAAAGCCAGGAGGCAAUAAGAGGACACGCACAGCUGAGACAGCCGAGAGAUCAACCAUAACGGAAGUGCAGUAUACAUGUUUGGAACCGAUCUGAGUUGGAGAACGUGGAAGUAAAACUUUAAAGCAGUUUUGCUUGAUUG